GAUGAACGCUGGCGGCGUGCCUAAUACAUGCAAGUCGAGCGAACGGACGAGAAGCUUGCUUCUCUGAUGUUAGCGGCGGACGGGUGAGUAACACGUGGAUAACCUACCUGUAAGACUGGGAUAACUUCGGGAAACCGUAGCUAAUACCGGAUAAUAUUUUGAACCGCAUGGUUCAAAAGUGAAAGACGGUCUUGCUGUCACUUAUAGAUGGAUCCGCGCUGCAUUAGCUAGUUGGUAAGGUAACGGCUUACCAAGGCAACGAUGCAUAGCCGACCUGAGAGGGUGAUCGGCCACACUGGAACUGAGACACGGUCCAGACUCCUACGGGAGGCAGCAGUAGGGAAUCUUGCGCAAUGGGCGAAAGCCUGACGGAGCAACGCCGCGUGAGUGAUGAAGGUCUUCGGAUCGUAAAACUCUGUUAUUAGGGAAGAACAUAUGUGUAAGUAACUGUGCACAUCUUGACGGUACCUAAUCAGAAAGCCACGGCUAACUACGUG
rnacentral:rRNA from 1 species